rnacentral:rRNA from 1 species
GAUGAACGCUGGCGGCGUGCUUAACACAUGCAAGUCGAACGAAGCACUUUGAAAGCUUGCUUUCAAAGUGACUGAGUGGCGGACGGGUGAGUAACGCGUGGGUAACCUGCCUUAUACAGGGGGAUAACAGUUGGAAACGACUGCUAAUACCGCAUAAGCGCACAGUGCCGCAUGGCACAGUGUGAAAAACUCCGGUGGUAUAAGAUGGACCCGCGUGUGAUUAGCGAGUUGGUGAGGUAACGGCUGACCAAGGCGACGAUCAGUAGCCGGCUUGGGAGAGUGAUCGGCCACAUUGGGACUGAGACACGGCCCAAACUCCUACGGGAGGCAGCAGUGGGGAAUAUUGCACAAUGGGGGGAACCCUGAUGCAGCAACGCCGCGUGAGUGAAGAAGUAUUUCGGUAUGUAAAGCUCUAUCAGCAGGGAAGAUAAUGACGGUACCUGACUAAGAAGCCCCGGCUAACUACGUGCCAGCCGCCGCGGUAAGAC